GACGAACGCUGGCGGCGUGCUUAACACAUGCAAGUCGAACGGAAAGGCCCUGCGUUUGUGGGGUGCUCGAGUGGCGAACGGGUGAGUAACACGUGAGUAACCGGCCCUUGACUUUGGGAUAACUUCAGGAAACUGGGGCUAAUACCGGAUAGGAUCUCCUGCUGCAUGGUGGGGGUUGGAAAGUUUAGGCGGGUGGGGAUGGACUGGCGGCUUAUCAGCUUGUUGGUGGGGUAGUGGCUUACCAAGGCUUUGGCGGGUCGCCGGCCUGGGAGGGGGACCGGCCACAUUGCGACUGAGAUACGGCCCAGACUGCUACGGGAGGCAGCAGGGGGGAAUAUUGCACAAUGGGCGGAAGCCUGAGGAAGCAGCGCCGCGGGCGGGAUGACGGCCUUCGGGUUGUAAACCGCUUUCGCCUGUGACGAAGCGUGAGUGACGGUAAUGGGUAAAGAAGCACCGGCUAACUACGUG
rnacentral:rRNA from 1 species